GAAUAAUCUUAUCGCCUGUGAGAACUCACAGCAGAGUUCCCCUUAACACAGUCUCAUUUGGACACAAGUUUUCAGAUGAAAAUUGUCACUACUGAUGAGCAAAGAUAGAGCUGGACAGAUCAGGCAACUUGCCUCUACCUCCCCAACGAUCGCAGAAUGUCACUUCUUCACCAUGAAGCCGAAGUUUAUCAUACCCCAAGAAGUCUAAUAAUCAGAAAAAUACAAGGCUUUCUUGUUCAGAGGUUUUCAGCCUUCAACCUGAAAGACAACGCGAAGCUUUGAACUGUUCCAUGCCCACUCUGCAGGACACCUGGGGAGGUCUCCGUGCACACACAGGGCCUGCGGCUCCACCGAGGCUGUUGCCGGGAAGGGGACACCACAACGCCUGAAUGGAGGUUCAGAUUAUUCUUAACGCUGAGCACCUUGAACUUAUAAUUCUUAGGGGACAGAAAUCUGAGUCCCAAGAUGUCUUCAAAUUAGAAGCCAUAUUGAAAAAACUCUCGUUUAAAACCAGACUCACAGUGGUUCUGCCGCCUGCCUCGCAAGCGCAAGGUCCCAAGUUCAAUCCCUGGUACCAAAAAAAUAAAAUAAAACCAGACUCAGAUCUUUACAGAAUAGGUCAGAUCUGUAGUAAUUUAAAUUCUGUCUAUAAUUUUAUUAUUCUAAAAACCAUUUUAGAAGCAUAAUGCUCACUAUUCUGAGCCAAGGAUGUUACUAGAAUUACCUUUGACCACACUGUAUUUGAAUAAGGUUUUAUGAUAUUCUGUUUGUGAUACUUAAUAGCUGUGUGACUUUAAGCAAAUUUUAAAAUUUCUCUUAUUUCAGUUUCAUAAUCUAUAAAAUAAUGAAGGUUAUGGCAGGGAUUAAAUGUAUUAAUGUACCUGACACGUAAUAACCAGUUUGUAAAUAUUCAUUGUCAACAUUAUCAUCCACUUAUUAACUCGUAAUUUUUACAGAAAAGCCAUCAGCACAAAAUUAAUAAAAUCAUUGUAACACAAUUCUUGCAUUCUCAAAAUUUAAAGAUAUUUUUAAAAAAUAGGUUCCUAAAACCCCAAUUACUAUUAACUUGGCUCAGAAUUAACUACUCUAAGCACAUUCGUAUCCUUUCUAGUUGCCCACUUCCACCCAACCUUCCUGCCACCCUAAAUUCCUGCAAAAAGGGAGUCCAGUUGUGUCAGAAAAUAGCUAAUCACACCUUGAAACUGAUUCUAAGCAUGAGCCUGCUAAGGGAAUGAGUACCCUCCAGAAGAUUCUAAGAAAUACUAGCAAACAGGAUUCCUUCCUUCACUAUAUAGCUGGCCUUCCACAUUCACGGGUUCUGCAUCAGUGCAGUCAACAAACCAGGAAUUGAAAUUUUCUUUUUUUUUUAACAAAAAAAGUGGGGCUGGGUAUGAAGCUCAGGGGCAGAGUGCUCUCAUUGCAUACACAAGACCCUGGGUUCAAUCCCCAGCUUUACACACACACACACAAAAAGUGUGUACUAAACAUAUAAUCAUUUUUCUUGACAUUAUUCCUGAACAAUAUAGUGUAACUAUUGCCAUCGCUAUUCUUUUGUUCAGGGGCUACUUUGUAAAGCAGGUAAGCCAACCACAGGCUGACUGGGGCUGGUAUUUUUGAUCUUCAGUUUGCAAGGCUGAUUAUUUUCCAGAUGGGUCUCAUGUUCAGGGAAACAAUGGCAGCUCUUACAUUGUAUUAGGUAUUGUAAGUAAUCUACAAAUAUCUAAAGACUGUAGACCUGUGGUGACAAACCUACGGCAUGUGUGCUGCACCAGGCUGUUUAUCACUGAAAGCUCUAGAAGGUUUGCCAUCACUGCUAUAGGAGGAAAAGGUAGGCUAUGUGUAAAUACUACACCAUUUUAGAUGAGGGAUUUGAGAGCCACAGAUUUCACUGUCUUCAGAGAGUCCUGGAGCCAAUCCCUACAGACACAGAGGGAUGACAGCA
rnacentral:lncRNA from 1 species